UACGGAGGGGGCUAGCGUUGUUCGGAAUUACUGGGCGUAAAGCGCGCGUAGGCGGAUCUGCAAGUCGGGGGUGAAAUCCCGAGGCUCAACCUCGGAACUGCCUUCGAUACUGCGGGUCUCGAGUCCGGGAGAGGUGAGUGGAAUUCCUAGUGUAGAGGUGAAAUUCGUAGAUAUUAGGAAGAACCCCAGUGGCGAAGGCGGCUCACUGGCCCGGUACUGACGCUGAGGCGCGAAAGCGUGGGGAGCAAACAGG
rnacentral:rRNA from 1 species